AUGCAAGGUUAGAUGGAACAAUGGAGUAGUGAAGCAGCAGCUAACUUGUAGAAAUAAGCUUCUUCAUCUUUGCUCCAACAUGAUUGGUUUGCAACCCGGAGCAACAACCUGCUUGUUCUUCCUGAAGCAUCGAGGAACAAGAGGCUUAGAGGGUGUUGGGAGAAGGGGAUUGCAGGAAGCUCUCUCAAUCACGAGUGCACUGACCCACCUGGCAAGCACCCACACCAGAAGUACCCAAAGUGACCUACAAGAUGGAAUUUUAGAAGUUCCACCCUACCUGAAAGAGAAAACUUGGAACCAUUGGCUCUCAAAUACAACUACUAAAACAUUAAACUCUCAAG